rnacentral:rRNA from 1 species
GACGAACGCUGGCGGCGUGCUUAACACAUGCAAGUCGAACGAAGAGCGAUGGAAGCUUGCUUCUAUCAAUCUUAGUGGCGAACGGGUGAGUAACGCGUAAUCAACCUGCCCUUCAGAGGGGGACAACAGUUGGAAACGACUGCUAAUACCGCAUACGAUCUAAUCUCGGUAUCGAGGAUAGAUGAAAGGUGGCCUCUACAUGUAAGCUAUCACUGAAGGAGGGGAUUGCGUCUGAUUAGCUAGUUGGAGGGGUAACGGCCCACCAAGGCGAUGAUCAGUAGCCGGUCUGAGAGGAUGAACGGCCACAUUGGGACUGAGACACGGCCCAGACUCCUACGGGAGGCAGCAGUGGGGAAUCUUCCGCAAUGGACGAAAGUCUGACGGAGCAACGCCGCGUGAGUGAUGACGGCCUUCGGGUUGUAAAGCUCUGUUAAUCGGGACGAAAGGCCUUCUUGCGAAUAGUGAGAAGGAUUGACGGUACCGGAAUAGAAAGCCACGGCUAACUACGUG